UACGGCGGGUGCAAGCGUUAUCCGGAUUCACUGGGUUUAAAGGGUGCGUAGGUGGGUCUGUAAGUCCGUGGUGAAAUCUCUAGGCUUAACCUGGAAACUGCCAUGGAUACUAUAGAUCUUGAAUACUGUGGAGGUCAGCGGAAUUUGUCAUGUAGCGGUGAAAUGCUUAGAUAUGACAUAGAACACCAAUUGCGAAGGCAGCUGGCUACACAAAUAUUGACACUGAGGCACGAAAGCGUGGGGAUCAAACAGG
rnacentral:rRNA from 1 species